GUGCUCGCUUUGGCAGCACAUAUACUAAAAUUGGAACGAUACAGAGAAAAUUAGCUGGCCCCUGUGCAAGGAUGACAAAUUCGUGAAGCAUUAAAAAAAAAAUCUU
ensembl:snRNA U6 U6 spliceosomal RNA